rnacentral:rRNA from 1 species
AGUAAUCGCGGAUCAGAAUGCCGCGGUGAAUACGUUCCCGGGUCUUGUACACACCGCCCGUCACACCAUGGGAGUUGGGAAUGCCCGAAGUCAGUGACCCAACCGCAAGGAGGGAGCUGCCGAAGGCAGGCUUGAUAACNGGGGUGAAGUCGUAACAAGGUAGC